GUUUACAUAUAACUCCGCGAAUAACUUAUCAAACAUGUCAACGGUCGAAACAAAUUCAAGCUGCUUUGGACCAGUAUAAUAAUAAAUUGAUUUUAAAAACUUCAUUCAUUGCAUUAGUUGCAUGCAAAUACAAAAAACGUAUUAUUCCACCUUAAAUUAACUGCGAAACAUAAAAUGAUAUCAAAAUGCAACAUAGCCCAAAUGCAUUUCGACUAAAAUAAGUGCGAUUCGACCGUACCCAUUCUGGAAUAACCAGACCAAAAAACUAAACCAGAUCAAUUAGCAACUAGGCAACAACUUUCAGAUGGGAUAAUCCUAAUCAAUUAAAAGUACGAAACCACUUUAAGUCGUUUAAGAAUCGGAGACACCAGGCUAACUCAUGGAUAUCCCAUAUAAAAAGACAAACCUCCCAGCUACGAAGCUUGUGGCUCACUUGCUAACAUAUCCUGACGGAAUGCCAUCUAUAAGAACGGGAGCGAAUGGAGCUCAACUUGACCAAAACUAGCGACGCAACCCUCGGA